GAUGUGAGUAUUGUUUGGCAGAUGAGAACUGCCGAAGGCAGUCGAGCCGAGCGAAGCGAGACCACAUCGGAGCCUGCGACGAUAGCCCCGAAGGGGAAGGCGCGUAGCGACGUAUAAUCUGCCUAGUCCUACCA
rnacentral:sRNA from 1 species